GCCCGCUACAGAAACUCGAAAGGAAUUGACGGGGCCGCACAAGCGGUGGAGUAUGUGGUUUAAUUCGAUGCAACGCGAAGAACCUUACCUGGUCUUGACAUCCCGGAGACCCUUAGGAAACUAGGGGGUGCUUCCAUCUGGAAGAAUCUGGAGACAGGUGCUGCAUGGCUGUCGUCAGCUCGUGUCGUGAGAUGUUGGGUUAAGUCCCGCAACGAGCGCAACCCUUGCCUUUAGUUGCCAGCAGUUCGGCUGGGCACUCUAAAGGGACUGCCGGUGUUAAACCGGAGGAAGGUGGGGGAUGACGUCAAGUCCUCAUGGCCUUUAUGGACCAGGGCUACACACGUACUACAAUGGCCGAUACAAAGGGCAGCGACACUGCGAGGUGAAGCCAAUCCCGUAAAAUCGGUCUCAGUCCGGAUUGGAGUCUGCAACUCGACUCCAUGAAGUUGGAAUCGCUAGUAAUCGUGGAUCAGCAUGCCACGGUGAAUACGUUCCCGGGCCUU
rnacentral:rRNA from 1 species